UACGGGAGGCAGCAGUGGGGAAUAUUGCACAAUGGGCGCAAGCCUGAUGCAGCCAUGCCGCGUGUAUGAAGAAGGCCUUCGGGUUGUAAAGUACUUUCAGUCGUGAGGAAGGUGUUAAGGUUAAUAACCUUAGCAAUUGACGUUAGCGACAGAAGAAGCACCGGCUAACUCCGUGCCAGCAGCCGCGGUAAUACGGAGGGUGCGAGCGUUAAUCGGAAUUACUGGGCGUUAAAGGGCACGCAGGCGGUUAAUUAAGUUGGAUGUGAAAUCCCCGGGCUUAACCUGGGAAUGGCAUUCAAGACUGGUUUAGCUAGAGUCUUGUAGAGGGGGUAGAAUUCCGAUGUGUAGCGGUGAAAUGCGUAGAGAUGUGGAGGAAUACCGGUGGCGAAGGCGGCCCCUGGGCAAAGGCUGACGCUCAUGUGCGAAAGCGUGGGGAGCAAACAGGGAUUAGAUACC
rnacentral:rRNA from 1 species